GUGGGUAACCUGCCUGUAAGACUGGGAUAACUCCGGGAAACCGGAGCUAAUACCGGAUAGUUCCUUGAACCGCAUGGUUCAAGGAUGAAAGACGGUUUCGGCUGUCACUUACAGAUGGACCCGCGGCGCAUUAGCUAGUUGGUGAGGUAACGGCUCACCAAGGCGACGAUGCGUAGCCGACCUGAGAGGGUGAUCGGCCACACUGGGACUGAGACACGGCCCAGACUCCUACGGGAGGCAGCAGUAGGGAAUCUUCCGCAAUGGACGAAAGUCUGACGGAGCAACGCCGCGUGAGUGAUGAAGGUUUUCGGAUCGUAAAGCUCUGUUGUUAGGGAAGAACAAGUGCAAGAGUAACUGCUUGCACCUUGACGGUACCUAACCAGAAAGCCACGGCUAACUACGUGCCAGCAGCCGCGGUAAUACGUAGGUGGCAAGCGUUGUCCGGAAUUAUUGGGCGUAAAGGGCUCGCAGGCGGUUUCUUAAGUCUGAUGUGAAAGCCCCCGGCUCAACCGGGGAGGGUCAUUGGAAACUGGGAAACUUGAGUGCAGAAGAGGAGAGUGGAAUUCCACGUGUAGCGGUGAAAUGCGUAGAGAUGUGGAGGAACACCAGUGGCGAAGGCGACUCUCUGGU
rnacentral:rRNA from 1 species